rnacentral:rRNA from 1 species
CGAACGAAACGAGAGCUUAGCUUGCUUUGCUCAAGUUUAGUGGCGAACGGGUGAGUAACACGUGAGCAACCUGCCCAGAAGCGGGGGAUAGCCCGGGGAAACUCGGAUUAAUACCGCAUGUGGUCUCCGGCGGCAUCGCCGGAAGAUUAAAGGUGGGGACCCUUCGGGGCCUGCCACUUCUGGAUGGGCUCGCGGCCUAUCAGCUUGUUGGUGAGGUAACGGCUCACCAAGGCUACGACGGGUAGCUGGUCUGAGAGGAUGAUCAGUCACACUGGAACUGAGACACGGUCCAGACACCUACGGGUGGCAGCAGUCGAGAAUCAUUCGCAAUGGGGGAAACCCUGACGGUGCGACGCCGCGUGGAGGAUGACGGCCCUAGGGUUGUAAACUCCUGUCAUCGGGGAGUAAGACUCACGGUUUAAUAGACCGCGAGGUUGAUAGUACCCGAAGAGGAAGAGACGGCUAACUCUGUGCCAGCAGCCGCGGUAAUACAGAGGUCUCAAGCGUUGUUCGGAAUCACUGGGCGUAAAGCGUAUGUAGGCUGUACGGUAAGUCAGACGUGAAAGCCCAGGGCUCAACCCUGGAACUGCAUCCGAUACUGCCAUACUAGAGUAGUGGAGGGGUAUAUGGAAUUCACGGUGUAGCAGUGAAAUGCGUAGAUAUCGUGAGGAACACU